UACGUAGGGGGCAAGCGUUGUCCGGAUUUAUUGGGCGUAAAGAGCGUGUAGGCGGCCAUACAGGUCAGCUGUGAAAACUCGAGGCUCAACCUCGAGACGUCGGUUGAAACCGUAUGGCUAGAGUCCGGAAGAGGAGAGUGGAAUUCCCGGUGUAGCGGUGAAAUGCGCAGAUAUCGGGAAGAACACCAAUAGCGAAGGCAGCUCGCUGGGACGGUACUGACGCUAAGGCGCGAAAGCGUGGGGAGCGAACAGG
rnacentral:rRNA from 1 species